AGUUCCCUGGCACCGGUCAUCUGUCUGCUCAGUGAGUGGGAGGGCUGGUACCUUCUCUUGUUUCUGAGACCCAGGUAGCAAAGGAGUUUGAGUUUGCAGUUGGAAUCAAAGGCUCUCCAACAAGGAAACAACUAAUAAUCAUGGUAAAAUAAAGUCAGUGAAAUAAAAACUGAAAGAAGCUGCCACCAAGAGACCUGCACUAAAGGAAAUUCUGACAGAUAUUCUUUGGGUAAAGAGAAGAUCCCAGAUGAAAGCUUGGAGAUGAAGGAAAAAUUGAAGAGGAAUGAAAAUGGAAACAACACAGGUGUGUUCCUGCAAGACCUCUCUUUCCCUAGGGGAAAACAGAGACAUCUCAUCACAGAUAGCUCUAGGUUUGCCUUGGCCAUGAUGUCCAAGUGGUCUGCUUGGUUCCAUGCCUGCGUCUGAGCUGGCUCUGUGGGAGGUGCCAAGCUGCCUUCGACACUGUGCAUGGCACUUUAAAGCUCUCAAUAAAUAUUUUUCAAGUGAAGUCAAUGAAGCAAGAAAGAAUCUCAACUAGUUUUGAGUUUUGGUUGAAGAGAAGGCUCACAGAGGCUCAGGGAAGCCCUCAGGUUUCAUGGGGACAGCCUGAAGAAUGACCUUCAUAUAAUGGCCACACAGCCACUUGGGCCACCGGAGCUCACCGUGAGACACACUCACCAUCUCGUCUUCAUGUCUGGUGCUCCCUUUAGUUUUCUGGCAAGAAGCUAGGGAGAAGGUGACUUGAGCUCCUCGUGUGUUUUGAUCACUCAACAAAGAAGACAAAAGGGCGUUUCAUAACCUGACAGUGGGAGAGCACAUUAAAAAGCCCCAGGUAGGGACCAUUGCUGGGGAACUUGUGUGGUCAUUUGGAGGUGAUAUUGGGCACUGAAGACACAGGCUCUACCAGUGUUGUGGGGAAGAAGAGGUUGUAGUGGCCUGUGGCUGCAAGGUACAAGGUGACUGCAAUGUUGAAGGGCAGA
rnacentral:lncRNA from 1 species